rnacentral:tRNA from 1 species
CGGAUUGUGGUUUAAUGGUAAAUAUUGGUUGGUUACUCUAAGGGAAUUCCCGGCUUGUUGUUCAGA